rnacentral:rRNA from 1 species
AUGAACGCUAGCUACAGGCUUAACACAUGCAAGUCGAGGGGCAGCAUGGUCUUAGCUUGCUAAGGCCGAUGGCGACCGGCGCACGGGUGAGUAACACGUAUCCAACCUGCCGUCUACUCUUGGACAGCCUUCUGAAAGGAAGAUUAAUACAAGAUGGCAUCAUGAGUCCGCAUGUUCACAUGAUUAAAGGUAUUCCGGUAGACGAUGGGGAUGCGUUCCAUUAGAUAGUAGGCGGGGUAACGGCCCACCUAGUCUUCGAUGGAUAGGGGUUCUGAGAGGAAGGUCCCCCACAUUGGAACUGAGACACGGUCCAAACUCCUACGGGAGGCAGCAGUGAGGAAUAUUGGUCAAUGGGCGAGAGCCUGAACCAGCCAAGUAGCGUGAAGGAUGACUGCCCUAUGGGUUGUAAACUUCUUUUAUAAAGGAAUAAAGUCGGGUAUGGAUACCCGUUUGCAUGUACUUUAUGAAUAAGGAUCGGCUAACUCCGUGCCAGCAGCCGCGGUAAUACGGAGGAUUCGAGCGUUAUCCGGAUUUAUUGGGUUUAAAGGGAGCGUAGAUGGAUGUUUAAGUCAGUUGUGAAAGUUUGCGGCUCAACCGUAAAAUUGCAGUUGAUACUGGAUAUCUUGAGUGCAGUUGAGGCAGGCGGAAUUCGUGGUGUAGCGGUGAAAUGCUUAGAUAUCACGAAGAACUCCGAUUGCGAAGGCAGCUUACUGGAUUGUAACUGACGCUGAUGCUCGAAAGUGUGGGUAUCAAACAGGAUUAGAUACCCUGGUAGUCCACACGGUAAACGAUGAAUACUCGCUGUUUGCGAUAUACGGCAAGCGGCCAAGCGAAAGCGUUAAGUAUUCCACCUGGGGAGUACGCCGGCAACGGUGAAACUCAAAGGAAUUGACGGGGGCCCGCACAAGCGGAGGAACAUGUGGUUUAAUUCGAUGAUACGCGAGGAACCUUACCCGGGCUUAAAUUGCAGAUGAAUUACGGUGAAAGCCGUAAGCCGCAAGGCAUCUGUGAAGGUGCUGCAUGGUUGUCGUCAGCUCGUGCCGUGAGGUGUCGGCUUAAGUGCCAUAACGAGCGCAACCCUUGUUGUCAGUUACUAACAGGUUCCGCUGAGGACUCUGACAAGACUGCCAUCGUAAGAUGUGAGGAAGGUGGGGAUGACGUCAAAUCAGCACGGCCCUUACGUCCGGGGCUACACACGUGUUACAAUGGGGGGUACAGAGGGCCGCUACCACGCGAGUGGAUGCCAAUCCCCAAAACCUCUCUCAGUUCGGACUGGAGUCUGCAACCCGACUCCACGAAGCUGGAUUCGCUAGUAAUCGCGCAUCAGCCACGGCGCGGUGAAUACGUUCCCGGGCCUUGUACACACCGCCCGUCAAGCCAUGGGAGCCGGGGGUACCUGAAGUGCGUAACCGCGAGGAGCGCCCUAGGGUAAAACUGGUGACUGGGGCU